UUUUUGUUGUGGAGUUCUCUUGUA
rnacentral:piRNA from 1 species